rnacentral:rRNA from 1 species
GUGGGGAAUAUUGGACAAUGGGCGAAAGCCUGAUCCAGCCAUGCCGCGUGUGUGAAGAAGGUCUUUGGAUUGUAAAGCACUUUAAGUUGGGAGGAAGGGCAGUAAGUUAAUACCUUGCUGUUUUGACGUUACCGACAGAAUAAGCACCGGCUAACUUCGUGCCAGCAGCCGCGGUAAUACGAAGGGUGCAAGCGUUAAUCGGAAUUACUGGGCGUAAAGCGCGCGUAGGUGGUUCAGCAAGUUGGAGGUGAAAUCCCCGGGCUCAACCUGGGAACUGCCGCCAAAACUACUGAGCUAGAGUACGGUAGAGGGUAGUGGAAUUUCCUGUGUAGCGGUGAAAUGCGUAGAUAUAGGAAGGAACACCAGUGGCGAAGGCGACUACCUGGACUGAUACUGACACUGAGGUGCGAAAGCGUGGGGAGCAAACAGGAUUAGAUACCCUAGUAGUCC